UUGAACGCUGGCGGCAGGCCUAACACAUGCAAGUCGAGCGGAUGAAGGGAGCUUGCUCCUGGAUUCAGCGGCGGACGGGUGAGUAAUGCCUAGGAAUCUGCCUGGUAGUGGGGGAUAACGUCCGGAAACGGGCGCUAAUACCGCAUACGUCCUGAGGGAGAAAGUGGGGGAUCUUCGGACCUCACGCUAUCAGAUGAGCCUAGGUCGGAUUAGCUAGUUGGUGGGGUAAAGGCCUACCAAGGCGACGAUCCGUAACUGGUCUGAGAGGAUGAUCAGUCACACUGGAACUGAGACACGGUCCAGACUCCUACGGGAGGCAGCAGUGGGGAAUAUUGGACAAUGGGCGAAAGCCUGAUCCAGCCAUGCCGCGUGUGUGAAGAAGGUCUUCGGAUUGUAAAGCACUUUAAGUUGGGAGGAAGGGCAGUAAGUCAAUACCUUGCUGUUUUGACGUUACCAACAGAAUAAGCACCGGCUAACUUCGUG
rnacentral:rRNA from 1 species